GUCAGCGACCGUACCACGUAGAAAGCACCGGUUCUCGUCCGAUCACCGAAGUUAAACUACGUCGGGCCGGGUUAGUACU
rnacentral:rRNA from 1 species